rnacentral:misc_RNA from 1 species
UCCGGUUUGGCACCGGCAGUCCCCCGAGAGUCCUCAGCGUUUUGCAACCUGUUAGCAACACGGGGCGGGGGUUGCGCUCGUUGCGGGACUUAACCCAACAUCUCACGACACGAGCUGACGACAGCCAUGCAGCACCUGUGCAGGAGCUCCGAAGAGGGGCUCUCGUUUCUGAGAGCUUGCUCCUGCAUGUCAAGCCUAGGUAAGGUUCUUCGCGUUGCGUCGAAUUAAACCACAUGCUCCACCGCUAGUGCGGGCCCCCGUCAAUUCCUUUGAGUUUCAGCCUUGCGGCCGUACUCCCCAGGCGGGGCACUUAAUGCGUUAGCGCCGGCACUCAGAGGGUCGCUCCCCCAAGCACCUAGUGCCCAUCGUUUACGGCGUGGACUAC